AUCCUUCAGCCACUGGGCCAACUGUAAUAGAAAAUGGUGACCAUGGGAUGGAAGAUCACCGCCCAGAAGCCUAGACUGUCUCCUAACACUGGGGCUGCCACUGUUACAAGACCAGUGUCCUUUUCUACCUGCCAUUGCUCUUCUAAAAUCUUCAGCAUUUUGCAGAGCUCUUGCUUUACACCUCGGACUUUGCAUAUAGAAGAAGCCAAGGGCGGCAGCGCCGCAGCCGAUCAGCCCUGCUCCUCCUCCCUCUGCUCUACAGUGCUUGUUGAGACCUUCCUUUCUUUCUGUGAGCACAGCUGUGCACUGUGCUCCUUCACUGUUUCGGCUCUCCUGCUGUGUUCGCAUCACGACCGCGGCUCCGUUUUCGGUUGAACCACUUUUAGCUUGCAGCUGAACGCUGCUGUCAUGGAUUUAACAGCAGGGAAUGGGGCAUCCACAGCCUGUUUAAUGGUUUAACUGCAGAGGUUGGGGAUGGCACUGGAAGGUGCUCUGUCCUGGUGGAUGAGCAGUGCAGUCCCACUCACCUUUCCCUUUGCUGCUUUGACACCUUCCCAUACGAGCUUCUUAUCUCUGAUGAUGUCUUAAAACUGAGUGUUUCCACGUCGCAGCAUUUAUCAUGGAGACUUGGAGAGUGGAUUAGGAAUGGCCGCUUUCCUCUGGGCUGUGAGGGGUGGGCUGUGGGCACUGCCAGCAGCUGGGGGUGGAGAAGGCUGGGAGGUUUUGCACUGCUUUGGAUGAGACAAAAUGAGGUGGGGUUCUCGCAGACCCACGCGUGGGUUGUUUGGGGAUGGGGGUGUCGUAUGGUAACCAUUGCUUUACCCACAGCGUCUGCUAAAAGCACGGGAUUUGUCUGAGCCAAAAUCCACUCUGAGAUGCAGAAUAUGAUUCCUCAGAAGCUCUUACUGUAAGACUUUUGCCAAAAAAAGGUAGCUGCUGCUUUGGGAAGAGAGUAGCUGUCAGUUAGACCCCCCAGUGCCCCGCUAUCAGCUGCAUGACAGCAGCAGGCACGCAGUGGCUCGUUGCAGGAGCAGCACACCUCAGUGAGCACUACUGCUCCCACUGCCUCCAGCUGCCCUCUGAAGCUCUCCCUCAAACAGAGGCCAAUCCCAUCUUCAUUAUUUGGGACCAUCUCAGCCCCUGGUGCUCCCCACCCCAUGCCUGGGCGGCUGCAUUGGGUGCUGUGUCACCAGGCCUGGCUCCCUGGGGCUGGGCCGUGCAGUUGCCCAGCGGCAGCUCUGCCCUCCUGAUGGUGCAGAUGGGGCGAGGAGAGCACAUGGGGGCCCUGCUCUUGGCAGGAGGUUCUCUCCUCCUUUUCUGUUGGCUGUUGCCAAAAGCAGAGCUUUGUGUAGUUGUUUAUUGAAGACCUCCUGUACCUGCUUGCUGAGCUUGGUGCCUCGAGCCGUCCGUUCACCUUUUGCCUUACGUGGCCCAGGAACAACGUGAGGGGUUUUCAGGCUGAGCAGCAGAGCUGUGCAGGGUGCCUGCACGCAGUGCCCUCACAGUGCUUUACUUUAGCCAAACACAGGCACUGUGCAGGUGCUGCUCCUGGAGGCCCGUGGGGUCACUGAGCCCACAGUGCCCCCAGCAGCACCCAUGGGUCCCUUCCGACGGGAGAUUCUGUGCUCCUGUGGCUGCUGAUGAAGCCAGGCACUCAGGCUGCAGUCACUGUGUCACAAGCAAUGCAUUCCAUCACACUGCCACUGCUUUCCCCAGAUUUCCGUCCUUGUUUUCAGUAAGUUUACAAACCCAUCUGUAGCCACGGCUGGAUCGGAGCUGCUUAUCGCCUCAGCCCUGACCCCCCUCCCAUGGCCCUGUGUGCCAGCAUGCCCUGCCCAUGUGCUGCAGGUGGGCUCUCCCUGCUCAGCACUCAGUGUCCAGGUGCUGCCUGGAGCCUCACGCUGUGCCAGCAGCUCUGCACUGUAAAUGGGUACCUGGGGGUCUUUGAGUCUUGGUUUGUUCUGUCCUUUUUUCCACCGAGUAGCGACCAAAUGUGUCACAGCUUCAACUCUGCUCUCCCUGACUUUGUCCAGGUUUUAGAGGUAAUGAUGUGUUUGCGGGACUUAUUCUCACCUUUCCGUGCGUAUAAACCUAUCUGCUGUCACCUCUGGUUUUCCUCACUGCUGCCAGUGCUGUGUACCAUGUGAAGCUGUGUAUCACUGCUGAAUAAACCACUGUAAUAAACACCUGAAAUGAA